rnacentral:rRNA from 1 species
UGCAAGUCGAGGGGUAUAGAUGGGUUUACUCGUCUAGAGACCGGCGCACGGGUGCGUAACACGUAUGCAACCUACCCUUUACUGGGGCAUAGCUCAGAGAAAUCUGAAUUAAUUCCCCAUAAUACAAUUGAAUGGCAUCAUUUGAUUAUUAAAGCUGAGGCGGUAAAGGAUGGGCAUGCGUUGCAUUAGCUAGUUGGUGAGGUAAUGGCUCACCAAGGCUACGAUGCAUAGGGGUUCUGAGAGGAUGAUCCCCCACACUGGUACUGAGACACGGACCAGACUCCUACGGGAGGCAGCAGUAGGGAAUAUUGGUCAAUGGACGCAAGUCUGAACCAGCCAUGCCGCGUGCAGGAAGACGGCCCUCUGGGUUGUAAACUGCUUUUAUAUGGGAAGAAACCUCAUUAUGCGUAAUGAACUGACGGUACCAUAUGAAUAAGGAUCGGCUAACUUCGUGCCAGCAGCCGCGGUAAGACGAAGGAUCCAAGCGUUGUCCGGAUUUACUGGGUUUAAAGGGUGCGUAGGCGGAAUUUUAAGUCAGUGGUGAAAGCCCUUCGCUCAACGAAGGAACUGCCAUUGAAACUGAAAUUCUUGAAUACGGUUGAGGUAGAUGGAAUAUAACAUGUAGCGGUGAAAUGCUUAGAUAUGUUAUAGAACACCGAUUGCGAGGCAGUCUACUAAAGCCGUGAUUGACGCUGAGGCA